GACGAACGCUGGCGGCGUGCUUAACACAUGCCAGUCGAGCGGAGCGGCGAACGGGUGAGUAACGCGUGAGUAACUGCCCCCCUCUCUGGGAUAACAGUUGGAAACGGCUGCUACUACCGGAUAGUGGGGGAUGACUCGCGUCCUAUCAGCUUGUUGGUGGGGUAGUGGCCUAAAAAGGCGACGAAGGGGCGCCGGCCUGAGAGGGCGACCGGCAACAUUGGGCGGAGAUACGGGCCAAACGCCUACGGGAGGCAGCAGUGGGGAAUAUUGCACAAUGGGGGAAAACCUGAUGCAGCAACGCCGCGUGCGGGAUGACGGCCUUCGGGUUGUAAACCGCUUUCAGCCAUGACGCGGUAGUGGCAGAAGAAGCACCGGCUAACUACGUGCCAGCAGCCGCGGUAAUAC
rnacentral:rRNA from 1 species